CGAAUUUCAGGAUUAGCCUUAAUGGGGAAAAGGAGUAGCACCGUUACAGCAUGAAGCCAAGCCUCCACGCUCCACAGGAGCUCUAUUCUCCCCUCCUGGAAAUGUGCCUGAUUUUACUGGAGACAGUAGAGUGGACAGAGGACAUACGAGAUUAUGGUGGGUUGAGAAGACUAGGAAGUAAACUCAUAAGAACAGUGAGUGUCAACUACCUUUCACUCUUGGAGAAGUUUGGUGAUGAAAGAAAAGACAGAUAUUAGAGUUCCAUUCUGUUGUUUUCUCCUCAUUUUCCUUUUUUUGUCGCAUUUCAAGACCAUAUUAAAAAGGCAUUUUGAAUAACAGAACAGCCACAUGAAGACCAGCCCUACUUCUCAGUAUAGAGGGAAAAAUCUACAGAACAAUGAGUCCAAACAGAACCACUAAGGGCACAGCCUAUGUUAUGGACACAUCUCUACUCUAUGACUCAACCGAAA